UACGAAGGGGGCUAGCGUUGCUCGGAAUUACUGGGCGUAAAGCGCACGUAGGCGGAUUGCUAAGUCAGGGGUGAAAUCCUGGAGCUCAACUCCAGAACUGCCUUUGAUACUGGCGAUCUUGAGUCCGGGAGAGGUGAGUGGAACUGCGAGUGUAGAGGUGAAAUUCGUAGAUAUUCGCAAGAACACCAGUGGCGAAGGCGGCCCACUGGCCCGGUACUGACGCUGAGGUGCGAAAGCGUGGGGAGCAAACAGG
rnacentral:rRNA from 1 species